UACAGAGGUCUCAAGCGUUGUUCGGAUUCAUUGGGCGUAAAGGGUGCGUAGGCGGCGCGGUAAGUCGGGUGUGAAAUCUCGGGGCUUAACUCCGAAACUGCAUUCGAUACUACCGUGCUUGAGGACUGGAGAGGAGACUGGAAUUUACGGUGUAGCGGUGAAAUGCGUAGAUAUCGUAAGGAAGACCAGUGGCGAAGGCGGGUCUCUGAACAGUUCCUGACGCUGAGGCACGAAGGCCAGGGGAGCAAACGGG
rnacentral:rRNA from 1 species